UACGUAGGUGGCAAGCGUUAUCCGGAUUUAUUGGGCGUAGAGGGAACGCAGGCGGUCUUUUAAGUCUGAUGUGAAAGCCUUCGGCUUAACCGGAGUAGUGCAUUGGAAACUGGGAGACUUGAGUGCGGAAGAGGAGAGUGGAACUCCAUGUGUAGCGGUGAAAUGCGUAGAUAUAUGGAAGAACACCAGUGGCGAAAGCGGCUCUCUGGUCUGUAACUGACGCUGAGGUUCGAAAGCGUGGGUAGCAAACAGG
rnacentral:rRNA from 1 species